rnacentral:rRNA from 1 species
UCCUACGGGAGGCAGCAGUGGGGAAUCUUGCACAAUGGGGGAAACCCUGAUGCAGCGACGCCGCGUGAGCGAUGAAGCCCUUCGGGGUGUAAAGCUCUUUCGGCAGGGACGAUGAUGACGGUACCUGCAGAAGCAGCUGCGGCUAACUACGUGCCAGCAGCCGCGGUAAUACGUAGGCAGCAAGCGUUGUUCGGAGUUACUGGGCGUAAAGGGUGCGUAGGCGGUCCCUUAAGUUUGGUGUGAAAUCUCCCGGCUCAACUGGGAGGGUGCGCCGGAUACUGAGGGACUAGAGUGCGGGAGGGGAGAGUAGAAUUCCUGGUGUAGCGGUGAAAUGCGUAGAUAUCAGGAGGAAUACCGGUGGUGUAAACGGCUCUCUGGACCGUAACUGACGCUGAGGCACGAAAGCGUGGGUAGCAAACAGGAUUAGAUACCCCAGUAGUCG